GUCCGGUUGAGAGCACACAGGUACAGGAACACAGAGCGCUGGUGGUCACACACGAAAUACGACUUCCCUACGAAAGAGAGAAGCUGGAAAAGCCGUAGAAGCAUUAAGACGCGGAUCAGUGAACACCGCCGCAAUAUACGGACAGGAAGUGUCACUGAGUGCUGCCCAUAUAUAUAGGACCUUCCACCUGGGAUAUGGAUGCCUGAUGAAGACCUACGUGUCAAAACAUUCUUAUAAUAAAAU